UGUGCCAGCCGCCGCGGUAAUACGGAGGGUGCAAGCGUUAAUCGGAAUUACUGGGCGUAAAGCGCACGCAGGCGGUUUGUUAAGUCAGAUGUGAAAUCCCCGGGCUCAACCUGGGAACUGCAUCUGAUACUGGCAAGCUUGAGUCUCGUAGAGGGGGGUAGAAUUCCAGGUGUAGCGGUGAAAUGCGUAGAGAUCUGGAGGAAUACCGGUGGCGAAGGCGGCCCCCUGGACGAAGACUGACGCUCAGGUGCGAAAGCGUGGGGAGCAAACAGGAUUAGAUACCCUGGUAGUCCACGCCGUAAACGAUGUCGACUUGGAGGUUGUGCCCUUGAGGCGUGGCUUCCGGAGCUAACGCGUUAAGUCGACCGCCUGGGGAGUACGGCCGCAAGGUUAAAACUCAAAUGAAUU
rnacentral:rRNA from 1 species